AUCACUUCCCGGCCUUUUGGCUAAGAUCAAGUGUAGUAUCUGUUCUUAUCAGUUUAAUAUCUGAUACGUCCACUAUCUGAGACAAUAUAUUAAAUGGAUUUUUGGAGCUGGGAGAUGGAAUAGGAGCUUGCUCCGUCCACCCCGCGCAUGGACCCGGUAUUGCAGUACUUCCGGGAACGGUGCACCCCCU
rnacentral:snRNA from 1 species